ensembl:lncRNA
CUGCUGCCUGCCCACUCUUGAUCCCCUUCCUGAAGAGCCUCACUGCAGCACUAAAUGGAGCUCAAGGCCAUGGCCCAGGCGUGGAGGAUCAGGGGCCAAGAACAGAUGCAGAUAAAGUUGACAUCAUGUGGAUCUCACCACUCUUUUCCACCCUGAAGAAAAUAGACAUCUGGUCCCAAGCCCCCAAGGAGGAAGCUGAACUACAAGGACAGAUGCAUCACCAGCUAGUGCCCAAAAGCUCUUUGCAGGAUGUCCCAAAACCUCAGAUAAUGAAGAACGAAGAGCUUAUCACUGUGCAACCCACAGAUCUUUCUGCCAGGGAGUUCGUGGUUUACCAGUAUGGCCUCUCCAUCCUGCACCUCCUCAUCCCCCAGCUGCAUGCUCCUGAAAUCACCCUGCAGAUUGCUUCUCGUCUUCCUGCGAUGGACCUUGCAGACAACGCCUUCCAAGGCUCCUUCUUCUAUCAGAGCGCUGAAAACACGCUGUUCGUUGGGAGAGAGUCCUUGGCAUCCGUGGGAAGUUUCAUUCUGCUGCUGAUCCGCUGCCUGGCCCACAUCGCCACCGCCGAGGACUUCCGCCAGGACUCAAACCCUGCCUUUCUGAGGUCAUUUUACAAGGGCCUGCAGGCUUAUUUCGGGGAAGCCUUCUCUACCACACUGCGAAUGUCCGCGGUCUCCUGGGACAGUAAGCUUGACCAAAGCAUAAGCGCUGCUCUGCUGGACGAGCAGCCCAUCUCUGAAAGAGGAAGAGAUCUUCUCUCUACACUCCUUGAAAGGAAGUGUGAGUCUCGCUUGGAGCCAGAGUCAUCAGAAGAGUAUAUUAAGAGAAACACAGAUCUUCUCCUCUUUACCAACAUGGAACAUUUUCUAAAAACCCUCCUCACUGCAGAACAACAGAUCCCAAGAAAACCAAGAGAUCAGCAUGGGGAUGAAGAGAAGGUGAGAUGUCCUUAUGAUCUACUGCAUUAAGACUGUACUUUGCUAUACACCUCGAAACAUUUCAUGUGUUUGGAGCCACCUUUGUAAUUGAACAUGUCAGCAGAACAAAGCAUUGGAAAUUAACGGUGGUAUGAAAAGCUACAUCAUCAGUCACUUUAUUUAAGAGUUUUCCCAGUACAGGAGAUGGUAGAUUUAGAUCUCAGAGUUCGAAAGGAAGAGAUCACAGAGUUUAUCUGUCUUCACGCAGGUAAAGCAUUAAUCCCAGAGAGUGGGAACUGAGACUCAGACUUGCCCCUGUUCACCCAACUGGAAGAGGGCAAGAAGUAACUAGAACUGGGUCCCUUGCCUUCCCAUUCAGGGUUUCUUUCGUUAUGAUCCCUGCUGCUGUUAUAUAAAAGGUUGUUUGUCUUUUUAUCGUAAGCAUGUAAAAUGCUAUAUCUUUAGGGGCCCCUGGCUGGCUCAGUCGGUAGAGCAUGUGACCCCUGAUCUCAGAGUUAGGAGUUCAAGCUCCAUGUUGGGCAUGCAGCCCACUUAAAAAAAAAAAAAAGUUAUAUCUUUAAAAACCAACAAAUAUUUGGAUUCCAAAUGACCAACACUAAUAUUUUGUAAGGUAUAUGGAUAAUCAGCAAAGAGAAAAACCCCAAAUACCUUCAUUUUUCUUAUGCAGAGUGGUGACCUUACAUGUCAAGAUCCAGAUCAGCAGCUAGCACCCCGGAGAAAUAACUGAACACUGGCUUCAGCCCUGGGCCCCCGUCUACUUUGUGAAUAGUUAUCACCCAUGUCUGGGGUGAAAACUACCGUUAAAACUUUAUUAAAAUAUAACACAGCUUUUAAAAGUGCACAUGUCAUAAAUGCACUCCUCAUGAAUUGUCCAAAGUGAACAUUUCCGUGUUACAAACAUCAAGAAAGACAACAUCACCAGCCUCCCAUGUCCCCUCCAUCCGGUCGUCGGCCCCCCAAGAAUAACCUCUAUCCUGACUUCAGACUUCAUUAACUGUUUUUGUUUAUUCAUGAACUUCACAUAAAUAGAAUCGUAAAUUAUGAGUUACUUUAUCUUUUGCUCAGCAUCGCGUUUGUGAAGUGUAUUUAUAUUGUUGCAUGUGGUUUGUUGAUUCUCUUUGCUAUAAAACACUCCAUUGUGUGGCUAUUAUCAACAUGUAUUCUUUCCACUACUAAUGUUCCUUUGGGUAUUUUCCAGUUUGAGGUUAUUACAAAUAGUCUUGUGCGUAUUUUGGUGACUAUAUGUGACUGUACCAAGUCAGGUAUGACUUAGAACUGGGAAUUCUGGGUCUUAAGGGGUGGAUAUUUCCCUCCUUAGUAGAUACUACCAAUGGGAUCCAAAGUGAUUGUAUGAAUAUAGAUGCCCACCAGAAGUGGGUAAGAGUUCUGGUCACUCUCCAUUUUUUUCAGCAUUUAGUAUGUUCCAUCGUUUUUAUUUUAUGCAUUCUUCUGAGUAUGUGGUUUUAACUUGCACUUUCCUGAUGGCCUCUGAAACUGGGCACCAUCCAAAUGUUUAUACACCGUUUGAAUGUCUUCUCUUGAGAAGUGCCAGUCAAGUAUUUUGCCCAUUUUUCAUUGGAUUCCCUGUUUAAUUGAUUUGUAGGAAUUCUUUAUUCUGCAACUAUUUUUCCUCAUUCUGUGGAUUGUCUUUUUAUAAAAAUAACUACAUAUAAUGUUUCUUUUUCUGCUUUAUUUUUAGAUCUAGAAAGAAAAUGGUGAUCUCAUUUCAGUCUGCAUGUUUAAAAGGUGUUAAAUGUGGAAAUAUAUCUAAUAAGGUUGAUAGAAUUUUUUAAUACCUGUAACAUUGAUGUAUCAAUCACAUAAAUGUAUACUAUAAUCUUGGGUGGAUAUAUAACAUAACAGAGGUUAAUAUUUGGCACAGAGGAUAACAUGCUUUCAAUCACAUAUUUUAUUAAAAUAUUCAUUAUUUAGAGAUACUGACUGAACCUCUUUCUAGAAAUGUAAAUUUGUAUACCUUGUCCUUUAUCAGGCUAGUUAACUUAUCUGAAAUUAUCUAUUAUUGAGUCACACAAAGUAGUUAGAUAUACUUGCACAAUA